GAUGAACGCUGGCGGCGUGCCUUAGACAUGCAAGUCGAACGAAGCACCUUGCGACUAUCACUUCGGUGAGAAGCAAUAGGUGACUUAGUGGCGAACGGGUGAGUAACACGUGGGUGACCU
rnacentral:rRNA from 1 species